GAUGAACGCUGGCGGCGUGCUUAACACAUGCAAGUCGAGCGAAGCACUUUGGUUUGAUUCUUCGGAUGAAGACCUUUGUGACUGAGCGGCGGACGGGUGAGUAACGCGUGGGUAACCUGCCUCAUACAGGGGGAUAACAGUUAGAAAUGACUGCUAAUACCGCAUAAGACCACGGUACCGCAUGGUACAGUGGUAAAAACUCCGGUGGUAUGAGAUGGACCCGCGUCUGAUUAGAUAGUUGGUGGGGUAACGGCCUACCAAGCCGACGAUCAGUAGCCGACCUGAGAGGGUGACCGGCCACAUUGGGACUGAGACACGGCCCUGACUCCUACGGGAGGCAGCAGUGGGGAAUAUUGCACAAUGGAGGAAACUCUGAUGCAGCGACGCCGCGUGAAGGAUGAAGUAUUUCGGUAUGUGAACUUCUAUCAGCAGGGAAGAAAAUGACGGUACCUGACUAAGAAGCCCCGGCUAACUACGUGCCAGCCGCCGCCGUAA
rnacentral:rRNA from 1 species